AUACUUACCUGGCAGAGGAGAUACCAUGAUCACGAAGGUGGUUUUCCCAGGGUGAGGCUCAUCCAUUGCACUGCGGGUGUGCUGACCCCUGCGAUUUCCCCAAAUGCGGGAAACUCGACUGCAUAAUUUGUGGUAGUGGGGGACUGCGUUCGCGCUCUCCCCUG
rnacentral:snRNA from 1 species